GGGCGGUUAGCUCAGUUGGUUAGAGCAUCAGUUUUACACACUGGUGGUCACAGGUUCGAGUCCUGUACCGCCCA
rnacentral:tRNA from 1 species